GGGUUAUACAAGUGGUCAUACUUUCGGAUCUCUUCUGCCAAGUGCUCUUCUAUUUGGUCCAUAUUCUUUCUUCUAAAUCUUCCGUGAUUUCCGCGUAUUGUGGGGCAUGAAACCGGAAACUAGACUCCGGACGGGAUGUAGUCAGCCGACCAAUCACAAGCCUUGCGGGCUGCGUGAGGCUCGCGUCGUUUUGUCGUAUAGUUAGAAAAAUUGGCGGACGCACGCAAGCCGCCAGAGGGCUCGAAAGGGGCGUGUUGCGUGUCUUGCGUGCAGGCGUGCGUCCGUGCAACACGAGUAUAAUUUGGCCUUUAGGUCGAAUGCACUGUUUGCCAUUUUGGCCUUGUGGGGCUUCCGUACUACGUUUUGUUUUUACCCGGAAUAAAAACUUGGGCAGUUUGACGUCACGGAAAAAUGGCGGAGUCGCAGGAGGAGGUUCACGUCUUGGUGCAGAGAGUUGUCAAAGACAUCACCAAUGCCUUCAAGAGAAAUCCCAACAUUGAUGAGAUUGGUGUGAUCCCAUGUCCAGAGGCCCGCUACAACCGCAGUCCCAUUGUGUUGGUGGAGAACAAGCUGGGUGUUGAGAGCUGGUGUAUUAAGUUUUUGCUGCCCUAUGUCCACAACAAGCUGCUGCUCUACCGCCAGCGCAAACACUGGCUGGACAGGGGAGCUUUAGUGGAUAUCACCUGCACAUUGUUGCUGCUUAACCCGGAUUUCACCACUGCAUGGAAUGUCAGAAAGGAGCUGCUGCAGUGCGGAGUUCUUUACCCAGAAAAGGACCUCUAUCUGGGCAAGCUUGCCCUCACCAAAUUCCCCAAGAGCCCAGAGACGUGGAUACACCGACGCUGGGUGCUGCAGCAGAUCCUCCAUCAGUUCUCUGCUGUGGGCCACAUCAGGAAGCAGCUACAGGGUGAAGCAGCACAGGCUGAAAGUGAGAGGAGCCAGCAUGUUAGUGACCAUCUGUCUAGGACUCUCCAGCAAGAGAUAAAAGUGUGCUCUGAUGCUGCCUGCCACUAUUCCAGCAACUACAAUGCCUGGUCCCACCGCAUCUGGGUCCUACAGCACAUGGCCAAGGGGAAUAUCAAGGUUUUCCUUGAUGAGCUGUCCUCUAUGCGUCUUUGGGUGUCCAUGCAUGUGUCUGACCACAGUGGGUUCCACUACCGCCAAUUCCUGCUCAAGGAGCUGAUAACUGAGCUCUACCAGACACCACCUUCCACCAACACUACCUGUUCAUUGCAGCACCAGUCCACCACAGUCCCCAGCAUCAGUCUCCACCAUCAAAACCAUAACCAAGCUAACAGGGAGCUGUCGGAAGCUGCGGCAGCAGGUGAGGGCGAGAGGCAGCUCAGCUUCACUACAGUCUUUCAGCUCUUCCACCAGGAAAUGGAGCUGUGCUCAGACUUGAUACAUGCCUUCCCUGGACACGAGACACUCUGGAGUCACAGGCGGCAUGUCUUUUACUUGUGGCAUCAGUGGAGGAGGGAGCACCAGAAUCACUGCAGCAGCAAUGGAGGCAACGACUUGGUUCAUCUUAUGUACCAGGACUCAGACCUGCUAAAGGACAGCACUCAAAGCUGUACAGUCCGGGCCCUCCUCAGAUUGACCUGUUCUGAGUGCCCCGCCCCCCUCACCCCCGGUGAGCCUGGCUGCCAGAGCCUCAGCUCCCCAGCGCAACCCCGCAGUGGGAGCAGAGGGAGCUUGAGCUGGCGCAGCAGCAGCAUCCUUCCACAUGGUGAGUCAACGAUUAGAGGUGUCCCGGGGUCCCUUGUUUAUGCGGCCACUUUAAUGUCUGACGGUUAGCAGCAGCGAGAUAACACUAGCAGGGGAGCCGGGUUCCACUAGCUGGGAACCCGGCUAAAGCGAGCUAAAGCUAACGUUAGCUCACCUGUCCAAGGCAUAGUGUGACUAUGGCAUUUAUUUCGGUCGUAAUCCGAUUCGACGCACUCUAGCGUAUCGUUUCUGACAUAGAGGAACCACAACAAAUCGCGGGAGUUGUUUUUUUCCAGAGUUUUUGGGACGGUAGACAUGCCAGAUACCCAAAUUACGUGUAGAAGCACUACAAAAGUGGAAUUUUCAUAAUAUGUCCCCUUUAAGAUACAUUUGUGGAAAUUCAUUAAGCCCUCACUUCUUGCAAUGGUAGGGUUUUACUGUCAGAUUCUGCAGAUUCUCAUUCUGAGGGCAGGGACAUUCAUUACCCAUAUUAUCUAACCUUGAUUAUUUUUUUUUAGUUGAUCCUUGGUUGCUGCUCCUUGUUUCAUUUCAGUCCUCUAAUUUUGUCCCCAAUUCCUGUAACUACAGUCCCUGACAAAACUGCUGAAAAGCAUUCUAACGUUCAUAGCUUGGUAAAGCCCACUGAGUCAGUUUUUGCAAAGACAAAAGUCUUGUAACCUUGUCAUAUGAUGCACCCAAAUCCUAGAUUACAGCCUCACCUGUGAUCAAUAAUUGAUCAAUCAAUUAGUGGGUGUGUAUAAAAAGAAUCCCAGCACACCAGACCUUCACAUCAACUGCAACUUGACCUCUGACAACAUGCCUAAGAUUCACCCUGAGACCAAAGCAUUGAUUAUCAAGAGGCUGAAGACCAGAUCCACUUCUGAGGUGGCUGACAUCUUCAAUGUGUCUCAGCCUCAAGUACAAAGAAUAAGAAAACGAUUUGAAGAGACUGGAGAUGUUUUUGACAAGCCCAGGUCUGGCAGACCCCACAAGACAACUGCUCGGGAGGACCGUUUGUUGGCUCGAAAAUCCAAGGCCAGCCACUUUUCCACUGCAGCAGAGCUCCACCAGGCCUGGUCACCUCAAGUCCCCGUGUCAACCAGGACAGUUUGUAGAUAAGUUCUCAAAAUGGCAUCCAUGGACGAAUCAGUGCCCAGAAACCAGCACUAAACAAAAGGCAAUUAAAAAAAACGUGUGGCAUUUGCCAAGGCCCACAGCCUGCUAAAAGGAUGGACGCUGGAAAACUGGCAGAAGGUGGAUUUCUCAGAUGAAUCUUUGGUUGAAUUACACCACAGCCGCCGCAAAUAUUGCAGCAGACCUACUGGAGCCCGCAUGAAUCCGAGAUUCACCCAGAAAACAGUUAAGUUUGGUGGCGGAAAAAUCAUAAUCUGGGGUUACAUCCAGUAUGGGGGUGUGCAAGAGAUUUGCAGGGUGUAAUGCAAUGUCAAUAGCCUAAAAUAUCAAGAAGUAUUAGCUACCUCUUACAUUCCCAACCAUAAAAGGGGCAAAGAAGAUCAUGGUGCUCCAGGACUGGCCAGCCCAGUCUGCAGACAUGUCAGGGGUAGAAUGAAAGAGGAAGCAUGGAAUACGAAACCAAAGAAUCUUGAUAAACUCUGGGAGGCAUGUAAGACUGCUUUCUUUGCUAUUCCUGAUGACUUCAUCAAUAAAUUGAUUGAAUCAUUGUCGAACCGCAUGGAUGCAGUCCUUCAAGCUCAUGGAAGUCAUACAAGAUAUAAAAUAUGGAUCUCACAGCACCACUACUUAAUUGACUAAUGUUAUGCAACAUAUUUUUGUAUUUGAAGUAAAUUAUUUGUUCAAUUUUCACAUUACUCUCUGUAGGCGAUACAACUUUUGUCUUGCCAAAAUCUGACAAAAUCUUCUGUGCUCAUUAAAUUAUCAAUCUUUCUUCAGUGAAGCAAAUUUAUUUUAGUAUAUUAAACAUAAUUUGGGAGGCUUUUGGCUUUCAUAUAGGCCAUUUCUAUAACCGAUGGAUUAUAUAAAGUCAGGUUAUAAGCUGUUGUUUCUACAAAAUGGAUAAGUGACAAGACUUUUGUCAGGGACUGUAUAGGCUAAAUUAAAAUAGCUUGCAGUGGAAAGCCAAACAGCCACUCAAGAGCAUUAAGGUUGCUUUCAAUGUGAAAACUAGUCUGCCAACUUGAAGUACUAAAAUUACAGGUAGAGAAAUGUUAACAUCACCUGUUUAGAUGGACUGAUGUUUCCCUUUUAAGGAUGGAGUGCAAUGGCUGGUGCAACAUGAUACUAUUACUUCAACUUCUUUAUCCGUUGCAGGUGUGUAUGGUGCAACAGAUGACUAUUUAUUUAUAAUAAUUGGUCAUUGUUUUUUGGGCUAUUAUUGGUCAGCAAUAAAUUAUCUUAUCUGGUUACUUUACACCAGGUUAGUUAAGAAGUUAAGCCAAGCUACUUUAGACCAAUCAGCCACAACAUUAUAACCAACAUAUUAUUAUCACACACCAAUAUAUAAUUAUGUCAUUAUCCUCUCUAGUUUCUCAGCAGGGGCUGCAUCAACGCAAGUUUUUGCAGACUUUCUCUCACUGGCCCCCAGGUAUUAACACUACAAAAAAAUGAAAGAAGAAAAAGUCUGCAGGAGGCCAUGUGAAAACACUGCAGGAGAUCCUCUGCUGGAAUUCUGCCAAUAAAAAGUGACACCGACGAAUAUGUCAAGAGAGGUUUUGGCCAAUAGAGCCGAAGCCGCCGUGCUGUCAACAAAACACGUGAUGUCCAAAGCGUAAUUAUUACGUUACAUCCUGCCUCUGCUUGCUGCACCACCCCUCACCUGAAUCCUUUGGAGGAUUUGUUGCUGUUGUGAACACGUCCGACCGGAGAACCUCCCGCUGUGUUUUUCAUGUGGGAUAGGAAACUGAAAAUCUGGACCCAAUUCUCCAGAGUUCCUGCAAAAUGGCUAUAGUGUAACCUAUACUGGGAAUUUAAGAAUGGUAUUUUUAAAUCUGAAUUAACAAGUCUGAAUCAACCUGUAUUCCAGAUAUUUGCAUUGAAAGUACAAUUGCCAGCAGUUUUAAUCGAUCCAUCUUUUCGUUUUGUUAUGGGUUGCUAUUAUUACUUAGGUUUAGCCAAUUAUAUUACCACCUGUGAAGAAGGAACUGUAACCAUGAUUACAUUAGCAUAUAUCGCAAAAAUAGGUUUGUUCAUCAAGAAAUGGUGCACAUCAUCAACAUGUUGCGGUAUUUUAACAUCAUUGCAAACCGAGAACACAAACUUUGAAUACUAGUCUAUCUAUGCAGAAAUGUUUUUAAUGGUUAUACAAGCUUUUAAAAUGAACAUAAAUGUAGCUACUUUUUUUAUUUUCUGUUAAACUUCAGCGGAUGGUGUUAUGGUGUAAGGUUAUUAAUAAAUAAGCUAUGGAAACAGAACAGCCAUACAGUCAUUAUAUAGAGGCAUUUUUCAUCAUCACAAGUAAAUGAGCGUUAUUAUCUUGAGAUAAAAUAACAAACCCUGGGUUUAAAUUGACCCAGACUAAGGCUGGCACCUCUUUUAUUGGAUCAGGGUUCUCUGUCACUAUCAGAAUCUAUAAAUAUAUUUGGGUCACAUUUAUGUUAUCUGUUUCCCUACUUUUUUUUUCCUGAUAGAGUUUCUUGUUAAUUGCUUGUCUGGCUGUUUUGGAUGCAUUUUAGGUCUGAUGUUAGUCACUUGUUUCCUUUCUGUUUGUGGAUUGCUAGAACAUGAGUUAUAUUUACAUCCAUUAAAUGCAACAAAAAAAACUAGGAAACAAACCCUUUGAAGUUGUCUGUCUGUGCUUAGAUCUAUAACAGUGCAACAGGUGUCACUGUGUGACAUGAUUUAUUGACAUUUAUCUUUAAAUUAACAAGAUUUAAAAUGCACCGCAAUGCAUAGUUUACUAAAUGUCCUAAAUUCUGCUCAACACAAAACACAUGGAAGAAAGAGCCCUGUUAUCCCAAGAUAAUGAAAUAUUCAUCUGUGAUGUCAAGAUAAUACUUUUUAAAAACAUUGCAAGUACAGAGAUUUUUGGCUUCCAUAAUAAUUCCCAGCAGCUCAUUGAUUACAUAUUUAUGCAUAGGGUUGAAAGAUAUCCGGUCUCAAUUUAAGUGUUUUGUUAUCUGCUUACCAGAAAUAUAAAACUCAUCUGUAAUAAAGAGUAUUUUUCAUCUA